rnacentral:lncRNA from 1 species
GAAGAUGUGUGCAAUAUUGAUGCUGCGCUCACGGCAAUAAUUGGGCUUUGUACCAACUUGUUCUUUCAUUCUUACAUAUCAUCCCGAGAAAAGAGGUUAAAUGUAAAUUGAGGAAAUGGCUUCACUGCAUGCUGUCACAAUGCACAGAGAGGUCUGAGCUAGUUUUAACCUCUCUUGUCGGAGUGGACAACCUGUGCUACAUAGAUUGCUUCUACAGCUCUGCAAUUCUGCUUUGCUGGAGAAGUCACAUCCCAAGAAGAGUUAAAGGACUUCAAGUGGCAGCUCAAAAUGUGACAGCAGGUGCUGCUUCCACCUAAACCACAGUAACACUGUCUUGUGGUUCAGGCAUUCUAAUUUUAAAGUUUGCCAGCCACUGAAAAUUUUAUUACUGGAACAGUGCCUGACAUGAGCACAG